AGCGGCGGACGGGUGAGUAACGCGUGGGUAACCUGCCUCAUACAGGGGGAUAACAGUUGGAAACGGCUGCUAAUACCGCAUAAGCGCACAGUAUCGCAUGGUACGGUGUGAAAAACUCCGGUGGUAUGAGAUGGACCCGCGUCUGAUUAGGUAGUUGGUGGGGUAACGGCCUACCAAGCCGACGAUCAGUAGCCGACCUGAGAGGGUGACCGGCCACAUUGGGACUGAGACACGGCCCAA
rnacentral:rRNA from 1 species